rnacentral:siRNA from 1 species
UUUGAGGAGCUAUUCUUAUACCU